rnacentral:rRNA from 1 species
UGGGAAUCUUCGGCAAUGGACGGAAGUCUGACCGAGCAACGCCGCGUGAGUGAAGAAGGUUUUCGGAUCGUAAAGCUCUGUUGUAAGAGAAGAACGAGUGUGAGAGUGGAAAGUUCACACUGUGACGGUAUCUUACCAGAAAGGGACGGCUAACUACGUGCCAGCAGCCGCGGUAAUACGUAGGUCCCGAGCGUUGUCCGGAUUUAUUGGGCGUAAAGCGAGCGCAGGCGGUUAGAUAAGUCUGAAGUUAAAGGCUGUGGCUUAACCAUAGUAGGCUUUGGAAACUGUUUAACUUGAGUGCAAGAGGGGAGAGUGGAAUUCCAUGUGUAGCGGUGAAAUGCGUAGAUAUAUGGAGGAACACCGGUGGCGAAAGCGGCUCUCUGGCUUGUAACUGACGCUGAGGCUCGAAAGCGUGGGGAGCAAACAGGAUUAGAUACCCUGGUAGUCCACGCUGUAAACGAUGAGUGCUAGGUGUUAGACCCUUUCCGGGGUUUAGUGCCGUAGCUAACGCAUUAAGCACUCCGCCUGGGGAGUACGACCGCAAGGUUG